CUCUUUCCUUGCCAGCCUCUGCUGAGCAACUUUGUAGGGAGCUUUUAGGAAACCCAACGAUUGCACAGCAGCCUCUCUGCCUAAAACGUCUUCCAAGAGACAAGCCUCAAAGAUGGCAUCAGAGCUGCUGGCUGGCUUUGGGGCCAAGUCAGCUGUACCCAUCAGCAAGGAGCAGCUGAAGAUGCUGGGCCAAGGACCAGCUGCUCUGGGGCUGCUCCGGUGGGUGCCCCCGUUCCUAGGAAGCUGGCAUUAGCUUGUCUGGAUCCAGUACCUGCUCCCUGGGAAUGAAGGAUGUGUUGACAUUGGAAGGCUGGUGUCUCCCCCUUGUUGGAGAAGGCUGGGGGACUGAAACCACCCUGCUUGGUUAUUAGCUUUGCUGAGCGGCGCGUGCAGCGGGUGAUUAGAAGCCGAGUGUAAAAUUGCCUCCUGCUAAUUUAUGCAGAUUUCCUCCCCUCUCUCUGGGUUCUGCGGCCCCUUCCCCUCCCGGCCCUGCCUGCUGUCCCUCCACCCUUCUUCCCACAGGUGGCAGUGCCCUGUUUUGGGGAUGCUUUGCCCCACGAGGUGGGGUUUGCAGUGACCUUUCUGCAGCAUCCCUGCGUGAGGCAAGGGGGAAGGAAGACAGCCAGGCAGUGAGCUGUGGCUGCUGGUUGCAUCUCAGUGGGUGUUUUCUUCAUUAAAAUGCUGUGGGAAGAG